GUGAUGCGCGUGCCUAUAAUGCAGUCGAGCGAACAAGGGAGAAACUUUGGUUCCUUCUUUGGUUACCGGCGGAGGGUUGAUAACCCGUGGGGCACCCGGCCCGGCGUUGGGGGUUACUUCCGGAAAACGGGGGUUAAACCCAAAAAUCCGUUUCCUUCCCUGGAAGGACUUCUAAAGAACGGUAUUCUGGCCCUGGCGGGAGGGCCCCCCGCCCCAUUACUUAUUUGGGGAGGAAAGGGUUUACCAGGGCAACAAUCCUAACCCAACUGGAAAGGGGGACCGGCCCCCUGGGAAUGGAAACCCGGCCCAAACCCCUCCGGAAGGCACCAUUAGGAAUCCUCCCCCAUGGAACAAAGUUCGAAGGAACCACCCCCCCGGGACCAAAAAAGGUUUCCGAACCUAAAACUUUUUUGGGGAGGAAAAAACAAUUCCGGGAUUACUGGCUGGUCCUUGGCCGGUCCCCCUUUAAAAACCCCCGGUUACUUCCUGGCCACCACCCGCGGUAUUCCUUAGGUGGCAGGCGUUGUCCGAAAUAUUGGGGGUUAAGCGCCGCCCAGCGGGCUUUUUAGUUCGAAUGGAAAACCCACCGGUUUACCGUGGAAAGGUCUUGGAAACUGGGAAGGUUGGAUUCCGAAAAAGAAAGCCGAAUUUCCCCUGGUACCGUGAAAUGGCGAAAAAUUGGGAAGAACCCCCGUGGGCAAAGGCGCUUUUCUGUCCGGUACUUGACCUUAAGCGCCGAAGCCUGGGGAACCAAACAGAAUAAAAUCCCCGGGUAUUCAUGGCGUAAAACAAUAAUGGCUAGUGGUUAGGGGGUUUCCGCCCCCUUAGUUGCUGGAGCAAACCGCAUAAAGCCCCUCCCGCCUGGGGAAGUACGGGCCGCAAGGCUGAAACUUCAAAGGAUUUGACCGGGGACCCGCAACAGCCGGUGGGAGCAUGGUGGUUUAAUUCGAAGCUACGCGAGACCUUACCAGGUCUUGACAUCCCGCUGACCGGUAUAGAA
rnacentral:rRNA from 1 species